rnacentral:rRNA from 1 species
UACGUAGGGAGCGAGCGUUGUCCGGAUUCAUUGGGCGUAAAGCGCUUUAAGGCGGUUCGCUAAGUCACGUGUGAAAACUCCAGGCUCAACCUGGAGACGCCACGUGAUACUGGCGUGACUAGAGUUCGGUAGGGGAUCACGGAAUUCCUGGUGUAGCGGUGAAAUGCGCAGAUAUCAGGAGGAACACCGGUGGCGAAGGCGGUGAUCUGGGCCGACACUGACGCUGUAGAGCGAAAGCGUGGGGAGCGAACAGG